rnacentral:rRNA from 1 species
CAGCCGCCGCGGGAAUACGGAGGGUGCAAGCGUUAAUCGGAAUUACUGGGCGUAAAGCGCACGCAGGCGGUCUGUCAAGUCAGAUGUGAAAUCCCCGGGCUUAACCUGGGAACUGCAUUUGAAACUGGCAGGCUAGAGUCUUGUAGAGGGGGGUAGAAUUCCAGGUGUAGCGGUGAAAUGCGUAGAGAUCUGGAGGAAUACCGGUGGCGAAGGCGGCCCCCUGGACAAAGACUGACGCUCAGGUGCGAAAGCGUGGGGAGCAAACAGGAUUAGAUACCCCAGUAGUCCCUGUUUCUUAUAA